AAUCAACGCUGGCGGCGUGCCUAACACAUGCAAGUCGAGCGAGAAAAGGGGAGCAAUCCCCUGAGUACAGCGGCGCACGGGUGAGUAACACGUGGGUAAUCUGCCCUGGAGUGGGGAAUAACACCGGGAAACCGGUGCUAAUACCGCAUACGAUCAAAGAGUCUGCGGAUUUGGUGAUGAAAGGAGCAAUUCGAUCUAGGAGGAGCCCGCGGCUGAUUAGCUAGUUGGUGAGGUAAUGGCUCACCAAGGCAACGAUCAGUAUCCGGUCUGAGAGGACGGUCGGACACACUGGAACUGAGACACGGUCCAGACUCCUACGGGAGGCAGCAGUGGGGAAUUUUUGGCAAUGGGGGCAACCCUGACCAAGCAACGCCGCGUGGGUGAUGAAGUCUCUUGGGACGUAAAACCCUUUCGACGGGGACGAAAGCCGCAAGGUUUGACGGUACCCGUAGAAGAAGCCCCGGCUAACUCCGUGCCAGCCGCCGCCGUAAUAC
rnacentral:rRNA from 1 species